rnacentral:lncRNA from 1 species
GUAGGAGGCAGGGUGGUUCAUCUUGCCAGUGUGGAGGUCAGAUCCCCCUGGAGAUUUUAAGUAAGGUUGUUGGCCUGACUGGCAAGCACCUUUACCCUCUGAGACUUAUUGGCCUCAGAAUUUGGUAUCCUUAAUGAGUUGCCUGCCCCGUACCCUCCACAGAUGCGAGGGGAAGCUGAGGCCUUUGCCGUAGGGGCCCGCGCUCGUGCUGAGGCUGAGCAAAUGGCCAAGAAGGCAGAAGCCUUCCAGAUGUACCAGGAGGCCGCCCAGCUGGACAUGCUGCUGGAGAAACUGCCCCAGGUGGCAGAAGAGAUCAGUGGCCCCCUGACCUCAGCCAAUAAGAUCACGCUGGUGUCUAGCGGAAGCGGAACCAUGGGGGCCGCCAAAGUUACUGGGGAAGUACUGGACAUCUUAA